rnacentral:rRNA from 1 species
UAGGGAAUAUUGCGCAAUGGACGAAAGUCUGACGCAGCAACGCCGCGUGGGUGAUGAAGCAUUUCGGUGUGUAAAACCCUGUCAGUGGGGAAGAACCGUGCGAGGAGUCACUGCCUUGCACCUGACGGUACCCACAGAGGAAGUCCCGGCUAACUCCGUGCCAGCAGCCGCGGUAAUACGGGGGGGACAAGCGUUGUUCGGAUUUACUGGGCGUAAAGGGCGCGUAGGCGGACCGACAAGUCGGGUGUGAAACCUGCCAGCUUAACUGGCAGCCUGCAUUUGAUACUGUCGGCCUUGAGUACAGGAGAGGAGAAUGGAAUUCCAGGUGUAGCGGUGAAAUGCGUAGAUAUCUGGAAGAACACCGGUAGCGAAGGCGGUUCUCUGGACUGAUACUGACGCUUAAGCGCGAAGGCUUGGGGAGCAAACAGG